rnacentral:tRNA from 1 species
UCCUUGGUGGCUCAGCUGGUAAAGAAUCUGCCUGCAGUGCAGGAAACCUGGGUUUGAUUCCUGGCUUGGGAA